CACACAAACAAGACAACAUGUCUUCUCCUAAAGGUGCAGAUGUUGACCUUGAUGCAGACUUUGUAUAUGAUUAUGAGAAGCUGCGUCUUGGAGGUCUGAUCUUUGCCGGGGUCAUUGUGUUCCUUUCCAUCAUUUUGUUGGCAGG